rnacentral:rRNA from 1 species
GAUGAACGCUAGCGGCAGGCCUAACACAUGCAAGUCGAGGGAGAAGCCCUUUCGGGGGCAGAAACCGGCGCACGGGUGCGUAACGCGUAUGCAACCUACCUUUCACAGGGGGAUAGCCCGAAGAAAUUUGGAUUAAUACCCCAUAAUAUUAUUGGAUGGCAUCAUUUGAUAAUUAAAACUGCAGUGGUGAAAGAUGGGCAUGCGUCCUAUUAGCUAGUUGGAGUGGUAACGGCACCCCAAGGCUACGAUAGGUAGGGGUCCUGAGAGGGAGAUCCCCCACACUGGUACUGAGACAGGGACCAGACUCCUACGGGAGGCAGCAGUGAGGAAUAUUGAUCAAUGGUCGGAAGACUGAACCAGCCAUGCCGCGUGCAGGAAGAAUGCCUUAUGGGUUGUAAACUGCUUUUAUAUGGGAAGAAUAAGGCGUACGUGUACGUUGAUGACGGUACCAUAUGAAUAAGCAUCGGCUAACUCCGUG